ACGAACGCUGGCGGCGUGCGUAACGCAUGCAAGGCGAAGGGAAAGGCCCUGCUUUUGUGGGGUGCUCGAGUGGCGAACGGGUGAGUAACACGUGAGUAACCUGCCCUUGACUUUGGGAUAACUUCAGGAAACUGGGGCUAAUACCGGAUAGGAGCUCCUGCUGCAUGGUGGGGGUUGGAAAGUUUCGGCGGUUGGGGAUGGACUCGCGGCUUAUCAGCUUGUUGGUGGGGUAGUGGCUUACCAAGGCUUUGACGGGUAGCCGGCCUGAGAGGGUGACCGGCCACAUUGGGACUGAGAUACGGCCCAGACUCCUACGGGAGGCAGCAGUGGGGAAUAUUGCACAAUGGGCGGAAGCCUGAUGCAGCAACGCCGCGUGCGGGAUGACGGCCUUCGGGUUGUAACCCGCUUUCGCCUGUGACGAAGCGUGAGUGACGGUAAUGGGUAAAGAAGCACCGGCUAACUACGUG
rnacentral:rRNA from 1 species